AUUGAACGCUGGCGGCAGGCUUAACACAUGCAAGUCGAGCGGGGUGAUGGUGCUUGCACUAUCACUUAGCGGCGGACGGGUGAGUAAUGCUUAGGAAUCUGCCUAUUAGCGGGGGACAACAUCUCGAAAGGGAUGCUAAUACCGCAUACGUCCUACGGGAGAAAGCAGGGGAUCUUUAUGACCUUGCGCUAAUAGAUGAGCCUAAGUCGGAUUAGCGAGUUGGUGGGGUAAAGGGCAAGCAAGGCGACGAUCUGUAGCGGGUCUGAGAGGAGGAUCCGCCACACUGGGACUGAGACACGGCCCAGACUCCUACGGGAGGCAGCAGUGGGGAAUAUUGGACAAUGGGGGGAACCCUGAUCCAGCCAUGCCGCGUGUGUGAAGAAGGCCUUAUGGUUGUAAAGUACUUUAAGCGAGGAGGAGGCUCUUUUGGUUAAUACCCAGAAUGAGUGGACGUUACUCGCAGAAUAAGCACCGGCUAACUCUGUGCCAGCCGCCGCCGUAA
rnacentral:rRNA from 1 species